AGACAAAUCGCAACGUAGUCAUUCGGUCGUACGAUGCUCUUUGAGUUCGACAGCGCGGUAAAUUUUGCGAUCGACACUGCCGCACUGCUUUUGGUCUUCACGUCUACGUAGUGACCCCCGGUUUGAAGAGUGAGCGAGCUUCGCUGUCAAGCUGAUGGCCAGCUUCCGCGAGAGAAUGACGCGGAACACAACGAAGCUACCAAAAGUUUCCGACGUGAUGUAUUUUUACAUUCUUGGUUUCAUUUCUCAACACUCACAGAAUUUUCAACACGUCGUCGGAAGAUACCGAAAGCCGCUAUCAGGAAAUGAACAAAGGAGCACUGGAAUGAUCGCGUGUGUACUAUUUACCUAAGUAUAUCCUUCGUGGUGUUUGCGAUGGCCGUUGAGUUCGUUUUAACUUUAUUGAAGUGGAGACGAACAAGUUACAAAGUCGAAGACAAUCGGACGAUGUUUGCAAUUGAUUUUAUAAAUAACGAACGUUCAGUGCUGCCCGGGAGUUACGUUGACUUGCAACGAUAAACGAAUAAAAAUCAUUCAUUCGUCGACAAGUGAAAGCAGCCAUAUGUAUCGUGAAACAACGCUGAUCGACGUGCGUUUGAUCAACGUUCAGUUUCAAUGGUAACACUGAAUUCUAUUUGCGGACGGAUGGACAAGUGCACGUAAAGUCGUACAGUUUGACAAGCAGCUUGCCGUCAAACUCAACUCGCGAUAACCAACCCAGCAACAUUGACCUGUUGCACGCGUAGGUCAAUUUAUUCCAACUUCCCCCACCCAAGCUUGGCCGCACAGUAUACAGUGAACGCGUGGCGAGUUAAGUGGGGAGUCCGCGGCUCGCCGAGCUCGUGGAUUUUCGUCGCGCAGUCCUAGCCUGUCCUAGAGCGCAGUGUCUCGUCGAAGAAGCCUGCAGAGAAUGGCGCAAAACAGUCAUCCACGGUUGUACGAUGACUCUCCGCCGACGUACGAAGCGGCCACUGGAGCUGCGCCGCUGACAAACGAACUCUUGCUAAGUGUGUCCGACAUCGUGGUUCACAACGAACGUGCGCCGCUGAUUUCCAUUUCUGCCGGUAGACCAAACAACACGGUUCGACCUUCAGUCGAAAUCGAAAACACGCUGGAUGAUUUGAUUAGGCGGAGAGCGCACCACCAAGCAACGAUCGACACAAGGCAUGAAGAAAUCUAUAGAUUCCAGACUUACAAGGACAUAUUGGCCUUGAUUCUAGCGGCGAUUACCACGGCAAUCACAUUGCUGAUUAUCAUUUACGCACAGGAACGUUUCAGUGCACGCAUAGUUUAGUGCAAAGACAACGAGGUGGGAUCGCAUGGCAUGAAACGAAAAAAAAAAACAAAAAAAAAUAAAAAAAAACACGACGAACAUACGGCCCGACAGUAUUAGCGCGAGCACACGUGGUAAUUUGCCGGCGCUCCCACCAACGUCAAGCCGUGCUAGCCUGCCAAGUGGGGCAGCGUUGUUCGGUUAUCGCGCCUCGCGCAGUGCUCGACUUGUUCCCAGCGCGGAAUGCAACGAGAUGCUCCACCUUGCUCGCAGAUCCACAGACAGCCCUGCGUCGGGGACAAGUGUCUGCCCACGUACGAGGAGGCGACGGGCAGCGCUCCGCGAAGGCCGAGCAGCAGUGCUCCCGUAUUUACUUGCCAGCGCUUGCCACGCGAUGCCACCACGGCGCUUGCUAAUCUUCGUUGUCCGUGCGGCAAUCAAGUCGCAGCACCGCAUGACCCGAGCGUUUCGCCGCGCAACGAAGCUUCGGAUGAUAUUUUUCUAGGGAACAGCGAAAAAUACGGAUACGCCCGCGCAGUCACUGCCCUGUUAGCGUGUAUGGCGCUGAUUGUCAUCUUCACUGGACUUUUCAUUUUCUGCACGAUACAUUUUCUCAAAUUUCGUUGAGAAUUAAUUUUCCGUUGAUCGUCGACUAGCAAUCGCGCUCCCGUAUUAUUCUUUCGGCGUGCUACCAAUUUUCUUCUUAUGCCUGGAGUACACCGCCGCGUAAUGUGUUCCGACCCAAAGACUUGUAACUCUCGUUUUUCGAUUAUCUGCAAUUAUAAUAAACCUGUAAAUAUAUUCGCUCGAAAUUCUAUUGUAACGACGGUUGUCUUUCAAAUCGGAGAAUACGAGUACAUUUUGUACUGUUUUCGUAAAUUAUUGUGACUUUGAUAUAAUAAACGCGAUGAGUAGUAUCGCGAGAAAAAAUGUGAUGUAAGACGAGUUUGUACGGUAAAUUAUAAGUAUGAUCUAAUAAAAAUGCACAUUUAUGUGACGCCGACUGCCAAGCGUUUAUUGGAUAUGGAAAUUGACAGCUCAGCAUCCAUUACGUCUCCUUUUCCUCCUCUCAGUCUCAACGAGUCACGUGCGUUAGAUUUCUCGAGUGGAAGCGCGAGUUUUUAGCAUUUGUCGAAAUUCUCGCGUAUCGGCUGCGGGGCCUCUUCGCUCUCGAUCGCGAGAUUAUUGUGGAGAACCAAGCGAGGGAUGUUGAUGCAACGGGAGCGUUAUAAUUCCGCUGCCGGCCGCCCACUGCCGAAAUAAACUGCAGUUAGCCUCGAUUGAGCGCGGCUGCCCUAUUAUGCGAGCUGUAACGCCAUACCAUGUAACGCAAGUCUGGAACGCGAUACGGCGGAGGGGAUUCGGACGAUUCGCCGCGAGUUGCCUCGGUAUAGCAUAGCUGCGACCCGCGGCGGGCUUUGUUCCGCGUGAUCGAGGUAGCUGGUGGCGGCUGCGAGAGAUACCUCCGCUAAAGAUACUACUAGUACCAGCAACCCGCCUGCACCAACUUCGGACUGUUGUGGGUAAUAAUUAUACGUACAAUUAACAAAGUUUCAUUUCCAUGGCGAUAUUGCUUUAUUAUCAAUUGACGGUAUAAUUUGUUAUCCUUUCCGUGAAACUCGAAAGAUCUCUUCAAAAGUGAUCAUCAACAAGGCCUUGCGAACGGUGACACUGGCAAUCUUUUGUUCCUUAAUGAUGUUUAUCGCGGAUCUCGAUACGUGAGUUACUUCUCGUUUAUACAAUGAUUGACCUUCUUGCCACGCAAUUCACUUUUUUUUCUUUUGAAUAACUAUCCAUAAUUUUCAAGGUUUCAAUUAAUUCACCAUAGAGGAACGGAGGAAUUGGAUGAGAAACUUGAACAUUCUAGUACUAAAUAACAUUUUUGUCAAAGAAAUAUAAUUUGUGCUAAUUUAACGCCAUUAACAUUAUAGUUAUGAGUAUAACAUUUUUUGUUCAGGUCGAUGAAUGAGUCAUUCGCAUCAUAAAAAUAUUUAUCGACGUGGCAUUCGCUGUUAUUCUGGUAAUAAUAGUGCUUAUAAUAAGGUCAUAUUGAGUAGGGCUAUUCAAUUAACUAUUUUUAAAGAAAUUUAUAUAAUUUUUUAAAAACGUACCAUACUUUUCCAAUGAUAUUUAUUAUUUAUGAAAAAUUGUGUUCAUUAAAAAAUCAACGUGUGAUAUACUGUAACUAUUCGAUCAGAGAAGCUCUCAGAUUUACCUGUGAUUAGUAUUUAUAUAUUAUCAAAAAAUAAAAAUCAUAC